rnacentral:rRNA from 1 species
CCUACGGGUGGCAGCAGUGGGGAAUAUUGGGCAAUGGGCGCAAGCCUGACCCAGCAACGCCGCGUGAAGGAAGAAGGCUUUCGGGUUGUAAACUUCUUUUAAGCGGGAAGAGCAGAAGACGGUACCUCUUGAAUAAGCCACGGCUAACUACGUGCCAGCAGCCGCGGUAAUACGUAGGUGGCAAGCGUUGUCCGGAUUUACUGGGUGUACAGGGCGGGUAGCCGGGCUGACAAGUCAGAUGUGAAAUUUCGGGGCUCAACCCCAGACCUGCAGUUGAAACUGGUGGUCUUGAGUAUCGGAGAGGCAGGCGGAAUGCGUAGUGUAGCGGUGAAAUGCGUAGAUAUUAGGAGGAACACCAGUGGCGAAGGCGGCCUGCUGGACGACAACUGACGGUGAGGCGCGAAAGCGUGGGGAGCAAACAGGAUUAGAUACCCGAGUAGUC